GACAAGUGUUGGACAGCCGGAGUCAGUCCCCGUGGAGAUUAUCUUUGAUAACAGAUUUCUUCUGGGGAAUAGCCGAGUUCGUGGUUUUGUUUUUCAGAACUCUGCUUCAGCAAGAUGUGAAAAAGAAGAGAGGCUACGGAAACUCAUCUGAUUCCAGAUAUGAUGAUGGAAGAGGGCCCCCAGGAAAUCCCCCCAGAAGAAUGGGUCGAAUUAAUCAUCUGCGUGGUCCCAGUCCUCCUCCAAUGGCUGGUGGAUGAGGAAGGUAAAUGUCUGCUGUAAGAAGCAGACAACUGGACAUGCACAUUCACAGCAGAAGGAAACCAUCAAGCAGGGGAGGGCUGACUAUGCUGCAAAGUAGAUGAAUGUGUACGUCUAAACCAGAAUUACUCUGUGUCUUCACAGACGAAUGAGGUCGUGUUGGGAAUUCCCUUGCAGGGAACUGGCAUGACUGACAUGCAAUUCUAUAAAUGCACAUGUUUGUCUCAUUAUCUUUUGUAUAGUUUAUGGAAGUAUUAAUACAGUUUUAAUAAGCAAAUAUUUUAGGUUAUAAAAUUGACUUCUCAUCUUUAUAUAAUUAAAACUCCAAAUUUGAAGAAAAUUAAAAGGCUAUGUAUUUAG